rnacentral:rRNA from 1 species
GAUGAACGCUGGCGGCGUGCCUAAUACAUGCAAGUCGAGCGAACAGACGAGGAGCUUGCUCCUCUGACGUUAGCGGCGGACGGGUGAGUAACACGUGGAUAACCUACCUAUAAGACUGGGAUAACUUCGGGAAACCGUAGCUAAUACCGGAUAAUAUAUUGAACCGCAUGGUUCAAUAGUGAAAGACGGUUUUGCUGUCACUUAUAGAUGGAUCCGCGCUGCAUUAGCUAGUUGGUAAGGUAACGGCUUACCAAGGCAACGAUGCGUAGCCGACCUGAGAGGGUGAUCGGCCACACUGGAACUGAGACACGGUCCAGACUCCUACGGGAGGCAGCAGUAGGGAAUCUUCCGCAAUGGGCGAAAGCCUGACGGAGCAACGCCGCGUGAGUGAUGAAGGUCUUCGGAUCGUAAAACUCUGUUAUUAGGGAAGAACAAAUGUGUAAGUAACUGUGCACGUCUUGACGGUACCUAAUCAGAAAGCCACGGCUAACUACGUG